AAUGGGAAGAACCUUACCACCCCUUGACAUGGGUUUUCCCUGACCAGAGAUGGUCCCAGGAGUUCCAUGGGUGUCCACACAGGUGGUGCAUGGAUGUUGUCAGCUUCUGUCGUGAGAUGUUCGGUUAAGUCCGGCAACGAGCGCAACCCACAUUUUUAGUUUCCAGCAUUCAGUUGGGCAAAACAGAAAAAAGGGGGGGUGAUAAGCCGGAGGAAGGUGUGCCUUACGUCAAGGCCUCCCGCCCGUUACACAUUGGGGUACACAGAGGGCGGCCAGGUGGUGACAUUGGGUUAAUCCCAAAAACCCGUCUCAGUUCGGAUUGGGGUCUGCAACUCGACCCCAUGAAGUCGGAAUCGCUAGUAAUC
rnacentral:rRNA from 1 species